UUUUUUUUUUUUUUUUUUUUUUUUUUUUUUUUUUGCAUCAAUUAUUUUGGAGCUAAGUUGCCCAUCAAGAUACUCCCCGAGCAUGCGAGCCACUUACCUGUCCGUCACCGAUGAGCACGUCAGGCACCACAACACCGAGUUCCCGGCCUAACGCGCUCACCCCGAGAGCUCGCGGGAGGAGAACAUGCCGCCGGCGUUUCUGUAAUGGAAACCAAAGACACCUGGAGGAGACGCGGCGGGAAGCCCAGUGGCAGCAGCGGCCGGAGGAUGAGCCCCGUGCCCCCCUCCUCUCCCCCUCGGCAGCUUCUCCUCGGUCUCAAGUCUUCCUGCCUUACGGCUGAGAGCGGCUCCGGGACCCAACACCGCCCAGUGCCGCCGCCGGGCUCCUGGUGUGCCGGGAAGACCGGAGACGCUUCACGCCUCCACAUUGGCUUCUCCUUUCCCUCCCUGUCUGCACCAGCUCGGGGAUGUUUCAUGCCACGGAAGGGAGACUCCUCCAGCUCCCUCUGCCUGGAGCGCAAAGCCUGGGACCACAGGCCGCCCCCCAGCACCAGCCCCUCGCGGAGGGGUCCGGGGCCGCGGCUUCUUCGCUCCCGUAGCAAUGCAGUACCAACCACUAGUGAUGCCAGCCCCUUCCCGGUGCCUACGGGUGGCUUUGCCACCUGCCAGCAGGGACACCGGCUGCUUCCCUUGGCCACCUGCCUGCUCCGCACGGGCAGAGCUGGCUCUCGGUGCCCCCCUCCUCGCUGUCGUCCCCCCCCCGUUCAGCUGGAGCUGCCCUGGCCCUGGGUUUGGAGGCUGUAGAAUUAGGGAUGUUUUGGCCUUGCUGGUUUUCCUUUGCUUUGUUCCUGGGUUUUACGAGUUCUCUGCAGGGCAGAGGUGCGGUUCGCCUCGCUGCCUCUGUUCAGGCGUGGUUUUACUGCAGUGCAUGUUGGUUUUUGGCUGGUUCGUUGGCUCUUUUUUGGCGAUUCAGCUCCCCAGGGUCGCUGGGCCGGCAGCGUGGGCUGGGACAGGCUCCCCUCAUCUGCAGGACAGCCCUGGGGUCACCGCGAAUCCCCUGGGAGAGGGUUAGGGACCACUCAGGCUUCCCUGGAGCAGGAUACGGUCCCAGGGAGAGGGAGGACGUGGUCCUGCAGCCCUGCCUGGCGUGCCCAGCAUUGCCAGGGCUUCGGGCUAAGCAGCCCUCAGGACCGGGGGGCCAGGGGGAACCAGCAGGAGCUGAACUGGGCCCUUUGUGGCUGCUCCAGGAACCUCGGGAAGAUGCAAGCAAAGGCCCCUUCCCCAUGGCAGCACCUCGCUCACCAAGGGCAGGGAAAGCCCCUGCUCCAUCCCACCCAGACCUCCCAGCCCAAAGGGUGCAGACAGGGUGAUGGGUGUUUUCCUGCCCACUCCCCCUUCUGGUCCCUGUCCCCCCGCCCAGGGCGAGUUCAGCUCUCGUAACCACGUUUGGCACCGCGGCGGCGGCUCACCCGGGGCUGGCUUUGCUCUGGGGCUCUUCCUCGGCGCGAAGGCUGUACCCGCGCCGUGGGAGGGCAAAGGCUUUACCCAGACUGAUUGCAAUUAGCAGCCGCCUCCUGUGCUGCUGCUGGUGGUGGUGGUUAUCCAUCCCUUCUUCCCUGCUUUGGCUAACAGUGCUGCAGCCGGGCUGACCCCCAGGGUGGCCAGGCUGUCCCCCUCGGGCGAGCCGGGGGGGGGUCCUUACUUGAUAGCAGUGACUCACUGUGUCUUUUAAAGAUAACGUGUACAUACCCUUUGGUCUCUUAAUGCCAUCUGUCCCUGUUACGUGUGACUAGCAUUGCUGUUGGAAACUUCCAGGGCAUUUUUUUUUAUAUUUUUUUUUUCAGCUUUUAAUGUUUCGAUGUAACGGUACUGGUAGAAGAGCUGUUUUUAAAACGCAUGUGAACUAACCUCAUUAGGACUCCUUCUAGGAGCUGGAGUCCGUGCCCUCUGGGGAAAAGACAAUAAACACUUGUACUAAACUUA